rnacentral:rRNA from 1 species
GCCCUUAGAGUUUGAUCCUGGCUCAGGAUGAACGCUGGCGGUAUGCUUUACACAUGCAAGUCGUACGAGAGUUUUUAACUCAAGUGGCGGACGGGUGAGUAACACGUAAGAAUUUGCCUUUAGGAGGGGGAUAACAACUGGAAACGGUUGCUAAUACCCCAUAUGCUUUCGAGUAAAAUGGAUUUUCCGCCUAAAGAGAAGCUUGCGGCUGAUUAGCUUGUUGGUGAGGUAAUGGCUCACCAAGGCGACGAUCAGUAUCUGGUUUGAGAGGACGAUCAGACACACUGGAACUGAGACACGGUCCAGACUCCUACGGGAGGCAGCAGUGGGGAAUUUUCCGCAAUGGGCGAAAGCCUGACGGAGCAAUACCGCGUGAGGGAUGACGGCCUAUGGGUUGUAAACCUCUUUUUUCAGGGAGGAAUCAAUGACGUGUACCUGAAGAAUAAGCAUCGGCUAACUCCGUGCCAGCAGCCGCGGUAAGACGGAGGAUGCAAGUGUUAUCCGGAAUCACUGGGCGUAAAGCGUCUGUAGGUGGUCAAAUAAGUCAACUGUUAAAUCUUGGGGCUCAACCUCAAAAUCGCAGUCGAAACUAUUCGACUAGAGUAUAGUAGGGGUAAAGGGAAUUUCCAGUGGAGCGGUGAAAUGCGUAGAGAUUGGAAAGAACACCCGAUGGCGAAGGCACUUUACUGGGCUAUUACUAACACUGAGAGACGAUAGCUAGGGUAGCAAAUGGGAUUAGAUACCCCAGUAGUCCUAGCCGUAAACAAUGGAUACUAGAUGUUGAACAGAUCGACCUGUGCAGUAUCAAAGCUAACGCGUUAAGUAUCCCGCCUGGGAAGUAUGCUCGCAAGAGUGAAACUCAAAUGAAUUGACGGGGAAGGGC